GAUGAACGCUGGCGGCGUGCCUAAUACAUGCAAGUCGAGCGAACAGAUGAGGAGCUUGCUCCUCUGACGUUAGCGGCGGACGGGUGAGUAAAACGUGGAUAACCUACCUAUAAGACUGGGAUAACUUCGGGAAACCGGAGCUAAUGCCGGAUAAUAUAUUGAACCGCAGGGUUCAAUAGUGAAAGACGGUUUUGCUGUAACUUAUAGAUGGAUCCGCGCCGCAUUAGCUAGUUGGUAAGGUAACGGCUUACAAAGGCAACGAUGCGUAGCCGACCUGAGAGGGUGAUCGGCCACACUGGAACUGAGACACGGUCCAGACUCCUACGGGAGGCAGCAGUAGGGAAUCUUCCGCAAUGGGCGAAAGCCUGACGGAGCAACGCCGCGUGAGUGAUGAAGGUCUUCGGAUCGUAAAACUCUGUUAUUAGGGAAGAACAAAUGUGUAAGUAACUAUGCACGUCUUGACGGUACCUAAUCAGAAAGCCACGGCUAACUACGUG
rnacentral:rRNA from 1 species